GACGAACGCUGGCGGCGUGCUUAACACAUGCAAGUCGAACGAUGUGGCGAACGGGUGAGUAAUGCCUAGGAAUCUGCCUGGUAGUGGGGGAUAAUGUCCGGAAACGGGCGCUAAUACCGCAUACUAUCAGUUGAGCCUCGGUCGGCUUAGCUAGUUGGGGGGGUAAAGGUCUACCAAGGCGACGAUCCGUAACUGGUCUGAGAGGGUGAUGAGUCACACUGGAACUGAGAAAGGGUCCAGACGCCUACGGGAGGCAGCAGUGGGGAAUAUUGGACAAUGGGCGAAAGCCUGAUCCAGCCAUGCCGCGUGGGUGAAGAAGGUCUUCGGAUUGUAAAGCACUUUUGUCAGGGAAGCGGUACCUGAAGAAUAAGCACCGGCUAACUACGUGCCAGCAGCCGCGGUAAUAC
rnacentral:rRNA from 1 species